rnacentral:rRNA from 1 species
CACGUAGGGGACGAGCGUUGUUCGGAUUUACUGGGCGUAAAGGGCGCGUAGGCGGCCAGCGCAAGUCAGUUGUGAAAUCUCCGGGCUUAACUCGGAACGGUCAACUGAUACUGCGCGGCUAGAGUGCAGAAGGGGCAACUGGAAUUCUCGGUGUAGCGGUGAAAUGCGUAGAUAUCGAGAGGAACACCUGCGGCGAAGGCGGGUUGCUGGGCUGACACUGACGCUGAUGCGCGAAAGCCAGGGGAGCGAACGGG